UACAUAACAUGUUUGAGCACCUCUGUUUAAAUUUAGAUUCAUAUCCCUGUAUUUUCUAUUUAGAAAGUUUACAAGUCUGACACACGAGUAUGUACCCAUUUCCGACACUCGUACCUAAGUCUGCGGAACAUAAGGGGGAAAAAGUCAGAGCAACAACUUCUGAGUUUCUAUGGUUCUUCUAAGUAAUGUUAUUAUACUCGGACUGACUUGCUAGGUCUGGGUUUGUGAUAGAAUACGAUAAGGAAUCGACUACGCUAAAAUUGUGCAACUCGGCUGAUCUUUUGUUGACCUGUGUGACGUGGUGGGUUGACCCUGUCAAUAAAAGCUACCACAUCAAAGAUAUUUUUGAGUGUUGGUGAGGAGGAAUCAAAUACUUCACUACGAAAAUGUGACAAAUUAGUCAUGAAAGGACUGAGGAGGAAAAGGGAGAGACCUAAAAUGAUGAGAUGGAGGGAAGUAAUAUCGAAAGAUUUACAAUCUUUUAAUGUUGAUGCGGGUUCUGAUAGGGCGGAAUGGCGAAAAAGAGCCAUAUAGUCGACCCCAGCUAGUUGAGGAUUAAGGUUUAGUUGUUGUUG
rnacentral:misc_RNA from 1 species